rnacentral:rRNA from 1 species
GACGAACGCUGGCGGCGUGCUUAACACAUGCAAGUCGAACGGGGUGUUUAUUUCGGUAAACACCAAGUGGCGAACGGGUGAGUAACGCGUAAGCAAUCUACCUUCAAGAUGGGGACAACACUUCGAAAGGGGUGCUAAUACCGAAUGAAUGUAAGAGUAUCGCAUGAGACACUUACUAAAGGAGGCCUCUGAAUAUGCUUCCGCUUGAAGAUGAGCUUGCGUCUGAUUAGCUAGUUGGUGAGGGUAAAGGCCCACCAAGGCGACGAUCAGUAGCCGGUCUGAGAGGAUGAACGGCCACAUUGGGACUGAGACACGGCCCAGACUCCUACGGGAGGCAGCAGUGGGGAAUCUUCCGCAAUGGGCGAAAGCCUGACGGAGCAACGCCGCGUGAACGAUGAAGGUCUUAGGAUCGUAAAGUUCUGUUGUUAGGGACGAAGGAUAAGGAUUAUAAUACAGUCUUUGUUUGACGGUACCUAACGAGGAAGCCACGGCUAACUACGUGCCAGCAGCCGCGGUAAUACGUAGGCGGCAAGCGUUGUCCGGAAUUAUUGGGCGUAAAGGGAGCGCAGGCGGGAAACUAAGCGGAUCUUAAAAGUGCGGGGCUCAACCCCGUGAGGGGGUCCGAACUGGUUUUCUUGAGUGCAGGAGAGGAAAGCGGAAUUCCCAGUGUAGCGGUGAAAUGCGUAGAUAUUGGGAAGAACACCAGUGGCGAAGGCGGCUUUCUGGACUGUAACUGACGCUGAGGCUCGAAAGCUAGGGUAGCGAACGGGAUUAGAUACCCUGGUAGUCC